UGGUGAGUAACACGUGGGUGACAUACCCUUCAGAUGGGGAUAGCUAUUAGAAAGUAGUAGAUAAUACCGAAUACGAGCACAGGGGUUAGAGACUCGUAGUGAGGGAAAGGAGCUAAGGCUCCGCUGAAGGAAUGGCCUGCGGCCCAUUAGCUAGUUGGUGAGGUAAGAGCCCACCAAGGCGAUGAUGGGUAUCCGGCCUUAGAGGGUGAACGGACACAUUGGGACUGAGAUACGGCCCAGACUCCUACGGGGAGGCAGCAGCGUAAGUAAUAUUCCGCGAAAUGGACGAAAGUCUGACGGAGCGACGCCGCCGUGGAUGAAGAAGGCCGGAAAGGUUGUAAAAUCCUUUUGAAACUGAAAGAAUAGGCGUUGUACGGGAAUGACAGCGUGGUGACAGUAGGUUUUGAAUAAGCAACGGCUAAUUACGUGCCAGCCGCCGC
rnacentral:rRNA from 1 species